rnacentral:rRNA from 1 species
UGGGGAAUUUUGGACAAUGGGGGCAACCCUGAUCCAGCAAUGCCGCGUGUGUGAAGAAGGCCUUCGGGUUGUAAAGCACUUUUGUCUGGGAAGAAAGUUGUGUGGUGAAUAGCCAUACGAGCUGACGGUACUGGAAGAAUAAGCACCGGCUAACUACGUGCCAGCAGCCGCGGUAAUACGUAGGGUGCGAGCGUUAAUCGGAAUGACUGGGCGUAAAGGGUGCGUAGGCGGUUUGGUAAGAGGGAUGUGAAAGGCCUGGGCUUAACCUAGGAAGUGCAUUCUUGACUGCCAGGCUAGAGUAUGGAAGAGGGGGGUAGAAUUCCACGUGUAGCAGUGAAAUGCGUAGAGAUGUGGAGGAAUACCGAUGGCGAAGGCAGCCCCCUGGUCAGAUACUGACGCU